UUACGUUUAGUUGCUAACGCGUGAAGGCGAGCACUCUAGACGAACUGCCGUUGAACAAACGGAGGAAGGUGGGGAUGACGUCAAAUCAUCAUGCCCCUUAUGUUCUGGGCUACACACGUGCUACAAUGGCCGGUACAGACGGACGCAAAGCCGCGAGGUGGAGCAAAUCCUAGAAAGCCGGUCUCAGUUCGGAUUGCAGGCUGCAAUUCGCCUGCAUGAAGUCGGAAUCGCUAGUAAUCGCAGGUCAGCAUACUGCGGUGAAUACGUUCCCGGGCCUU
rnacentral:rRNA from 1 species